rnacentral:misc_RNA from 1 species
GGUGAGAUAGGCAGUAACUGG